rnacentral:antisense_RNA from 1 species
AUCUUCUCGGCUUAGCGGCUGAAGACUGACACUGCCAGAUCGCCUCGGAAGCCCCCUAGACCAUCACAGAUGCCGAGCUUCGGGUAACUCUCACAGUGGAGGACAUCUUCCAUCUUCACCAUGAGCUGGGAGGCAGGAGGAUAAUCUGGCUUCAGGAAGGAAGAAAAUAUUUGUAGCUCUGGGAACUCCAGCUCAUUUUUACCACUGCCUGACAGCCUCCACAGCAGGGUUUGUUUGAACCCCAAGGGAAAGGAUAUCUCAGCAGCUUCAGGGAGUGACUGCGUACUUUGGUGAAAAGCCCCAGCGAGCUCUUGGUUUAAGCUAAAAGGUCCAGCACGCCCACUACAAAAUCCUUGCAUUGCAUAGAUAACUUCCUGUAAUCGUUCUAACAGAAUAAAGAGAAAUCAGCGGUAUGUCACAUGGAGCCCCGCAGAUUGGCUUGCCCAGCAUAGCAGUGUCGAUCAGCAACUGCUCACCACAUGUGACCUUAUGGAGCACAUUGGAUGCACUUAUGGAACGCAGCAGGAUGUGCUGGGUGCAGAAGGCGGGGCAAUUUCUCUUGACACGCGACCUGAAGGACAUUUUCUCUAGGUCAGCAUGUGUGAAGGUGUGGUCCAUGGGCCACCUGCAUCAGAGUCACCUUAGCUGCGUGCUAAAGUUGCAGAUUCCCAGGUCCCACCCUAGACUUACUGAGUCAGAAUACCUG